rnacentral:rRNA from 1 species
GACGAACGCUGGCGGCGUGCCUAAUACAUGCAAGUCGAACGCAUUUUCUUUCACCGUAGCUUGCUACACCGACAGAAAAUGAGUGGCGAACGGGUGAGUAACACGUGGGUAACCUGCCCAUCAGCGGGGGAUAACACUUGGAAACAGGUGCUAAUACCGCAUAAUUCCAUUUACUGCAUGGUAGAUGGAUGAAAGGCGCUUUUGCGUCACUGAUGGAUGGACCCGCGGUGCAUUAGCUAGUUGGUGGGGUAACGGCCUACCAAGGCUGCGAUGCAUAGCCGACCUGAGAGGGUGAUCGGCCCCACUGGGACUGAGACACGGCCCAGACUCCUACGGGAGGCAGCAGUAGGGAAUCUUCGGCAAUGGACGCAAGUCUGACCGAGCAACGCCGCGUGAGUGAAGAAGGUUUUCGGAUCGUAAAACUCUGUUGUUAGAAAAGAACAAGGAUGAGAGUGGAAAGUUCAUCCCUUGACGGUAUCUAACCAGAAAGCCACGGCUAACUACGUG